CAUCCCGUGCGCCGCACAUGCACGCAAACCAACCCAAUCCAGUCCUACCACGCACUAUGCACAACCAGUUCCCUCCUUCCGCACGAAUCCGACCAGAUAGAGAGGAAUAUGGGAGGGAGAGAGGGAGGAGGAGGAAGAUGGGAGGAGGGAGAAAGAGUGAGGGGAGAGGAGAGGGAGGUCUGGCGGCGGACGGGAAAGGGUGACCGGCCGGCGUCUGCCUAUGCCCCUCCUCCCGCAGGAACCCUAGGGGGAGAGAAGAUGAGGGAGAGAGAGAGAAGGAAGGAGAGGAGGGAGAAAGAGAGAGGAAAGAGGAGAGGGAGGUGCGAUGACUGAUAGGAGAGAGGAUCACCAGCCAGCAUCGGCCUGCGCCGGGGAGGAUGGGCGCGACCUGGAGGUUGGCGGUGGCUCGAUCUGCUCCUGGAUCGGGAACUGCGACGAGGCUGGGUCUCGGGCGCGAUUCACGGGAGGCUGUACUCCGCCUUUUCCUCGUGGUGCGGCGGACGGCGGUGCGCUCUGGACAAAUUAGGCCUGAGCUAAUGGGGGAGAAGAUGGAGUACAGGGAUGAGCAGUUGGAUCACACGUUCAUUUGAUGUUUGCGCACAAGAUGGAGAUGUUCGCUGGAAGGAAGAAGAGUUGGGCGGUGAGGAGGAGAAGAAGGCGGUCUGUGACGUGCUUGCACGCGCAGUAGCAGGAGUCCACCCAUGAGGUGCUCCUCUGGAUGCUCCCUUCCGGUGCCAGGCUUAUGUUUUCAACACCGCCCUCACUGCCCCCUUCUUCCAUUGCCUCAUCGGCCGGUUAGAGGUCAGAUAUCUAAUACUCCGCACUGCCUCCCGUCAAUUUUUGGGAUACAUGCAAGGUUUAUCAUCACCCCAUGGAUCAUGUGUUGUUCAUUAACAAGGUUAUCGAGGUGGAGGUCAAUAGUGUGAGACAGAGAAGUGGAGUGCUCAUAAAGAAACGCAGGUAUGUCCGAAUAUGAUGGAUGCUUCCAUUGCCAACUGAUGAAUGCAUGUCUCCUUUUGCGCAGCUGCUGCCUGGAUUCACCGUCGUGGCUGCCGCCUCUAGUCGCUUCCACCUGGACAUCCUUCGCCAACAAGGUAAUUUCGUUUCGGUCCCAACUGUCCUCCUAUCCUCCGCGCUUUGAUUGCUAUGAGUUCUUGUUGUGUGUGUGCUUGCUGGCUUAGUGAUGUGUGUGUCCGGGAACCCAUUGUGUUCUUUUUUAUGGCUUGCUGCUGCAUGCAUGAUUGUUGUGGCUGGCUUGGUGGUAGCAUCAUACAUACUGUUCUAGUUGGUUAGCUUGACGCUCUUAAGCUAGGCUUUUAAUUCUCUGGGUCUAAAUAAUGUAUUGCUAUACCAGAUAAAAUAUACACAUGCAUUGCAAACAUGAUUCUGCUUAUACGCGGAAGUAUAUUUUUUAAAUCUAUCUCUUCAAUUCUUAGUACAAUUCUUUACUGGAAAUCUAGAACUAUGUAAUUUGGUAAUCGUGUCAAAGGUCACCUGGUUGUGCCAUAUUGCAUUGUGAUUUGUGAAUACUAUGUCGUUGGGGAAUCAGCGAGCUUGGUUAUAUUUUUGGGGCCAUCAUGUUAACUGGUGCUGGUAGCGCUCGCUUGCUAGCUAUGAGUUCUUGUUGUGUGUUUGCUUACUGCCUUAGUUAUGUGUAUGUGUGUCCGGGCACCUAUUGUGUUUUUUUGCUAGCUUCCUGCUGCGUGCAUGAUUGUUGUAAAUAGGUGCUCGCUGGUUGGUGCUGGGCUACUGAUGGCAUGAGACCUGCUUCAAAAAAAGGAAUGAAAGGAAGCAUUUGUUCAUAGAACAAAUAUAUUGUAAAAAUUUCCAUGGAAAGCCUGCAUAUUUAGCUCAGAAAAGGAGUCUAAAGAGGCUUAGAUUCUUGUUAUGUAUUGAUUUUGUAAAAUAUCUCCAGCUAUAUAUUGCUCAAACAAAGAAAGAUUUUACUCAACCUUCAGUAUAAUGUAUUUCUAAUUGUUCAUAACUACUUCAAGUUUUGUUGUGAUUUUGCAAGAUUCUGAAAUUAUUGUAUUUCAAAAUUGUUAUACUGAUUCCUCGAUGUGCUGUUCAUGGCUUUGUUCUUAUUUUAUCCUUCUUUAUUUGAGUUUUUUCCUUUCCUACAAGAAGAUGCUGAGUCAUGUAAUAUGUUCAAAGAAGAGAGAAUCUACAUUUUAUGAAUGCUUUCUUCUUUUUUCAUUGUUACUUCAAGUUAGCGAAUUCAGUUAAGUUGUACUAAGGAGAUUCAUAUGCAUGGUUUCUCCAGCUACACAUAUUAUUCAGUCAUGGGGCCAUUAAGAUCUUUUGCCUUUUAGAAAAUGGGAGAUGCCAUUUAGACCUUACUUUGUUCAACUUGAUCUUUAACUUGCUACUACUAUUUCUAAGCAUUUUCCCAAGCAUUGUUUUAUUUGCAUCAGAGAAUGAGCUCACCUUACUCAGUGGAUGUGACAAGUAAAAAAUUAGAAACUGAGCAAUUAGUGCCACUCUUAAAUGUUGUAGAGCAGUCCAAAUUAUCCAAUAAAUCAUUUGUUAGCAGCGUCUAAUUAUAGAAGUUGAAUCAGUUGUUCCAAAUUACCCAGUACAAAUUGUGGAUGUUAAAAAUCUGUUUUUUGUUAGUCAAAUUGUUGAAAGCCAGAGCUGGGUCAAGUAGCCGGCCUUCGCCUACGCCAUUGCCUGAGAGAAGCAACACUGGCAUUGGGCAUUCCAUGUGCAGAAUGAUGAGGUAUGCCAUGGAAUGGUUGGGUUUUGAGUGGUAGGUGAUCCCUAUGCUAGCGGUGAUAGCAGCCAUCAUUGGUACAUUUCAGUAAUAUAUAAGUCCAUUUAAGGCCCUGUUUGUCUAGGCUUUUGCUUCUGCUUUUGCAGCUUUUCUAUUUUAGCCAUAAAGCCAUAAAAGCUCCUCAAUAGGUGCUUUUAGAGCUUUUAUGGCUUUUGGAGCUGAAUAUUGUUAUAUUUAUUCAUCAAAAGCUAGAAAUGCUCCAAAAACACCUAUUUAGGAGCUUUUUGGCUUUUUGGCCAAAGUGGAAAAGCUGCAAAAGCAGAAGCAAAACCCCAAACAAACAGGGAUAUGUGUUUUGUUUUACUUCCUCCGUGGUGACUGUGAAUGUAUUCUCGGCUUUAUAGUCAGUAAAAAGAAGGCAUGCAAAACAUUAUGUUUUUCCUUCGUUGAAUGUCUCAUUUAAUUGUCGCUUAUUUAUUUCAAGUCAGUAAAUUCACAUCGAACUUCCCUUGUGCUUUCCAUUAAUAAAUAGCAAAUUAAUACGCAAUAUUUUUAAUAUGUGAGGAGGCAAGAGAAGAAGAAAAGAGGGGUUGUUAGGUCGGACCUUGGUAUGUCUCUGACCAGAGAUGGUUGGAUUCGUCCGAUGCUCUUCCAAACAGUGCAUUCUAGAUUCAAUGGGUAGUACAUGGAGCUUAUUUACUUUGCUGCUCUUAUGGCUUUAUCUGUACUUGACAUAUCAAGAGCUGAUGGGAGGUUCUACCUGAUCGAUUUUAGCUCCUCUUUCUUAGGUUCCGCUGACUCAUUUUCUUAUGUUAUCCUCAAUUUUCCCUUUCUAAUUUUGCAAGGGGGUGUACUCUCUCCCUCAAGGUAAGCGUGAAUGCAACGGACAUUGAUUGUGGCUGUUCCGAUAAGAAAUUGAGUGCAAAUUGAGUUUUAACAGUGAGACUUAUUCCAUUUGUUUAUCCUUUUGGCCUUUUAAUCAAGAACAAUGUUCAGAGCUUACAUGGUUGUCUAAAUUUAGUUCUGUAAAAGAGCAAUAUUGAUAUCAUGCAAUGAUCAGUGCAAAUUAGGAUAGUUAUAGAGUUCUUCCUCAGUUGUCAUUGAGCAAAUAUUGAAUUUGUGUGAUUUGUUCUAAUACCAAGUAAAUCUUGGUCUGCAUUGUGUUAGUUUUCGUACUGAGUUCUUUUGGCUAUUUUCGCUUAAAUUAGGAGUUGAUGUGAAAAAGAGUGUGUGCUGACAUGCAUGCAACCAAAUCAUGUAUUAAUGUGAGGUACUACAUAUACUUGCAUAUCUCUCUUCAGAAGCACGACCCUCUUCAUCCAACUAGGAACAUCAAAACCAAAUGGGAUAUCUUUGACUGCACUUCAGAUGGCCAUGCUAUGAGUUCCCCAUUAUUAAAUAGUAUCUGAAUCUGCUUUGUAUAAUUAAGACACACUUUAUACAUAGAGCUGCUAUAGUGAUACCAUGUGAUCACUUAACAUGAGUGCGACUAGCCUAUUUUCUAGCCUAUUUUCUCUAUUUAAAAGUAGAGUUGUGUUUAUCAUAAAAUUUAUAUACCAUGGACUCGUUGCUUUCUAUUUAUAUAAUAGGGCAGUUCGUCUUCUACCAUCUGUUUUCUUCAUUACAUGUCUCUUAGAUUGUUGGAGGGCCUUUAUGAAUAAGUUGAUUAUCUACAUUUAUGCGUUAAUAUAUUUGCCUGAUGGGUUUCCCUAUUAUGGCUCAUGGUUAUAGAUGUAGUUUGCCUUUGCUAUUGUUGUUUCUCCAAAUAGUAUCUACAUACCACUAUAUUGUAUGUGUUGUGAAUGUACGGCUGUUAAAUAUGUUUGUUUGCUUAUGCUGGUAUGUUAUGUGAUCAUUGUAACAAUCAUGAUGCAUGGAAAUUUGGAGCAGUUAAUCCCAAUAGCGAGACAUGAGUUAUGCUCGAGGUAAUUGACCUUUGCACAAUAAGAUAUAUGGGCUCUUUUGAAUGUAGCAUUUUAGCUGAAUUGAUGGAGAUGUUAGUAUUCUACUUUCAUUCAUAGAUUUCAACAGAUUUUCCAUGCAAAAAAAUGUAUCAAGGCUAGUUUUGUCAUGUAUUUCUUGGUGAAUGUGUAGCAAGCUCUUAGUGUGCUCAUUUUCUCCUCUGCUAAAAAUAAUUUUCCCAAUGAAAUAAGUACAUGCUUAAUGAUUUGUGUUAUGUGUUAAUGAUAGGGGGUAUCAACAAGAACUUAACGCAUGAUGCAGCCAGAUUGGGUCCAUUCUUGAUGGGGUGGAACUGGAGCUUCCAGGGGAUGGUUCUGAUCCAGUUCCAUUAAGGGUGUAUUUUUUUAGAGCUUGGCCGCGUGUGCUUUUGUCCAUGCCUAUGAACAGGCUGCCCUCCAUGCCAUAAGAUUUUUAUAGGGCUUAUAUGGGUUUGUAGUUUGAGAUUAUAAUUAUGACUGUAUGAUGGCUUAUAGGAGCUUCCUUCGUUUUUCCAUGACAGUUUCUGUCGUGGAAUUGUCACGGCAGAUGUCCUAGGGCAAGGACUUAGUCGUAGGGCCAUCACAAUAGGAAGCUUAAAGGGGUUAAUCGGGACUUAGUCGUAGGCCCCUUACGAUGGAGGUAAAAGCCUACGUCUAGUUGCGAUUGGUAUUGCUGGGGUUUCGAUCACCAAGAGGCUCAACUCGCCGGCUUGGUUAUCGACUUCUUCUUUCUCGCCCUAAACCACCAGCGAGUCGUCCCCUUAUAUACAUGGGUUGACGCCUGGUGGCCUAAAGAGUCCCGGCCGGCUCAUAAUCGUGUCCGGCACGGGGACUUCCUUUACAUGCCUUUCUUUACAAGUCUUUCCUUACAUACGGUGGUUUACAAUAUCGGGCCAUAAGCCGCCCCCGGGCCUUUGGGCCUUCUAUAAGGUUUAAUAAACUAUCAUCUUGGAUGUUCACUAGGCUUCUUAUGUAACCCGCCAUUGGGGCUGACCCGGCCCCUCCUUGGCUGGUCAUACUGAUAGUAAUAUCCCCAACAUCAGGCCCCAGGUUGACUUUGAACUUCGUUCUUGGUCAAUCUUCAAUACUUAGACAAAAAUUCAUCUUCUUAUCUUCACUGAAGUUGUUGUAACCCGCCGUGAUGUCAUCUUUUGAAAACGCAAAAAACUUUCAUGACGUCAUCUCCCAACGGAUGUUUUAUCUUUAAUGUCUCCCGAGAAUCGAGGCGCCUAUGUAGCUAGAUAACCAUUGUUCAGCUCUUCCUUGAUAUUCGCGCCCGUCUGUUUGCAUCUUUCCCUUAUAAAUAGGCACGCCUUGGCCUUCUCACUUUCCUCUCUCACUCUGUCUUCUUCCUCUCACAAACCCCCUGCUGCUCGAGUUCAGCCGCCGCCGUGCCUCAUCUCUGUCUCCGUCGACCCUGGGCCGCUGCAUCAACCUGAACCGAUCCAGAGAAACUGCGGCUACCUCCGCAGUAGACCUGCAAUCGUAAGUCUUCUUUCCUUCAUUUCUUAGAUCUGCAUUAGGGUUUCCAAGCUCCUGCGUGUUCUUCAUAGUUCAUCAUAGUUCAUCGUAGUUCUUCCACCGCCAACCUUUUAUGAUCCAAAAAGUCAUAUAUAUGCUCGCGCGGUAGUGUUUUUGUACCUCUUCUUGAUCAACAGAUCCCUUUCUCUGAUUAAAAGGCUGCUUCAGAACUUACCGACUCCUCUGUACUGAACUUUUUAGGACUAGAAUGGUUUUCAUUUUGAAUAACCAUUUGAUCUGGAAUAAUACCAAGCAAUGUAGGAAACUUGUUUGUCUCACUACUUAGCUGAAUUUGUCUUCAUAAAAUAUCUGUAGUCAUGGUGGCUUAUCAUGCCGGCUUAAUUUUCCUUAUAUGUCAUUAGCCCUUAACUAAGCCGCCAUUACUUGCUUGCAUCUUCAUCACUUAAGUGUCAAUCUCACCAUUAAACUGAACCGGCAUGUGGCUUUUCUUUUUAGUUCCUUGCACAUCAUGCCGUCCAAAACACCAAUCAUCUGUAACUGUGUUCCCACAACCAUAUCUGAGGAACGUUUAAAAGAGUUCUUCACCAUAGGAUUUCUGCCAGCAAAAAUUGUCAUGUCUUACCGUGCCCCUGGCCCGGAAGAAGAACAACCCAAUCCAAGAGACGGUGAGGUGAUUGUUUUUACUGACCACAUGAACCGUGGCUUCUCACCGCUCGGCUCAAAGUUCUUCAGAGAGGUCCUCCACUUUUUCAAGCUCCACCCUCAAGAUAUCAGGCCCAACUCCAUAUCUAACAUCUGUAACUUCCAAGUGCUCUGUGAGGUAUAUCUUCAACAAGAGCCGACUGUGGAGUUGUUUAUAGAAUACUUUUAUCUAAACCGGCAGAAUGAGUGCACCAACGGCCUUAGCUUAGAGCUUGGUGGCAUAUCAAUUCAGCACCGGCAGGGUGCCGUCUUCCCCCUCAUUGUCUUACCAAGUCACCCAAAGGACUGGAACCAGACUUGGUUCUACUGCUAGGACACUUCACCAGCAAACGAGAAGCCACAGUCGGGUUAUCGCCCCGAUCGUCUUGAUUCCAAGUUCGCGCUUCCUGAUAAGCUUACGGUCGCUGAACGCAAGAGGUUGAUACCGUCUAUCAAAAGGAUCAAUGCUCCGUUGGGGAACGGGUUAACUGGAGUUGAUCUGACCCGCUACUGGAUCUCAUGGCGGGUCAUCCCUUUGAGCCGCCGGUCAAAGCUGAUGUAUGAGUAUGGUGGAGGCCCGGAUGACUCUCUUCGUCACAGCCACGUUCAAUUGACAGAAGAAGAUAUUGUCUCAAUGUCAACUCUUCUGGUGAACGGGAAAUAUGAAGAUUGCAGUGUCGUCGAGUUAAACCCCUUCUGCCAGCUUAACCCGGUGCCAGAAGCCAACUCUGACUUCUGGAAAGUUAAGUAUGACCACGAGGCUGCCAAGAAAGCGAAAGCCGCCGCCAUAAACGCCAAGAAAACGACCCAGAGGUCGAAAAAGAAGAAAAAGAGCAUUGUUGAAGAUUUGAUGAAGCUUGAUGAUACAUCUGACUCGGAGGAUGACACAGGGGCCAGUUAGGCCAUGGAAGCAGAGCAACAUGAGAGCCGCCGUCAAGCUUGGACUGAAGAUGAGCCGGCUGUCAUUCUUCAAGAAACUCCUCAGAAGCGUUCGAAUGAGGAGGUGUCUCGCUCUUCUGGCGACUCAUCGCAGUCGCAAUUUCCGGCCUUCAAGACUGCCCCUGGCUAAAUCCAAGAAAACGAAGGUAGCUAAACCGGUGGAAGACCCGCCAGUGCUUGCAUCUGACCCGGCCAGGCCAUCUUCUCCAUUAACCGACCCUCCAGCAGACCCGCCUGUUGAUGUAGAAAUAAAUCCUCCUGAGCUGUCAUUUGAUGAAACCACUAUGAACCCUUCUGCUACUGGACCAUCAAGCUCAGCGAACCUGCCAUCACCGUCUGCACAAGACAUUCAGAUCACCGGGAGCCACUUUAUUGAACCAGGGAAUCCAACCGUGCUGGCUCGGUGUACUGCAAAAUAAGAGGCAUUAGAGAGGCAGAAAGUUCGCUUUGACAACCAUGUACAUCUAAAUGCGAGAAUUCCUUAUCUUAAUCGAACUUGCAAUUGACUGAUGCGAAGACCCGGCUAGCGAGUCAGGAGGCAGAAAUCAAAUCUUCUAACUCCAAGCUGAAAAUAAGUCUCUUUGAGACGGAAAAUUUAAAGACCAGCUUCGCUGCCAAGAAGAAAACUUGGGAAUAGGAAAAAACGCUUCUGACCCAACGCGCUGAGAAGGCCGAAACAGCCCUUGAAGAGAUUUCAACAGAGCUGAAUGGUUUAAAGGGUCGGGUGUCUCAAAUUGUAACACCCCGGAUGUAACUUUCCCAAUUUGUACUCCAUUUUGUGUAAUCUUGAUGGGUGUAUGCUUAGAUUAUCAUGACUUGCACCGUAGUGAGUGCAUCGAGCUCGCAAACAUGCCUA